rnacentral:rRNA from 1 species
GACGAACGCUGGCGGCGUGCUUAACACAUGCAAGUCGAACGGAAAGGCCCUGCUUUUGUGGGGUGCUAGAGUGGCGAACGGGUGAGUAACACGUGAGUAACCUGCCCUUGACUUUGGGAUAACUUCAGGAAACUGGGGCAAAUACCGGAUAGGAGCUCCUGCUGCAUGGUGGGGGUUGGAAAGUUUCGGCGGUUGGGGAUGGACUCGCGGCUUAUCAGCUUGUUGGUGGGGUAGUGGCUUACCAAGGCUUUGACGGGUAGCCGGCCUGAGAGGGUGACCGGCCACAUUGGGACUGAGAUACGGCCCAGACUCCUACGGGAGGCAGCAGUGGGGAAUAUUGCACAAUGGGCGGAAGCCUGAUGCAGCAACGCCGCGUGCGGGAUGACGGCCUUCGGGUUGUAAACCGCUUUCGCCUGUGACGAAGCGUGAGUGACGGUAAUGGGUAAAGAAGCACCGGCUAACUACGUG